GAAAAGUGCUCUUUAAUUAAAAGGAAGCGAAAGACAACAGGAAAGACAGAAGAGAGAGCAAUAAUGACAACAAGCACCAUUAAGAAACGCAAUACAAUAGAGACUGUAUGUAAAACAAGAAGCUGAACACUUUGUUGAUUUGUGAUGUUAAAUAUAGGUCAAAGUAGUUUGUAAAAGCUGGAACACUUCUUUAUUUUACUUUGAAAAUACCCAAGCACCACUGUUUCACAUCAUUUUCUUUAAAAAGCUAAUAAGAGCACUGAGCAGCAACAAUUAUUUUGAUCAGGUACAUUUUAAAUCAAAGCCUGAUUAAUUAUUCCAGUCCUAACAUUUCCCAAAUUGUGAUCAGAAUUUCCCGAGGGAAUAAAACGAACAUUUUUUAAUAUUUACAAAGAUGCAGCAAAUGAGGUAAAUUAUAGCUGCUAUUUCUUUAAUUUUUUUUUUUUUCCAAUCUUUGUUGUUUCUCUCCAUGGGGAGGAAUUUUGGUUGGCUGAUCUGUCACUCAGCAGUCAGUCAAUCCUCACGGAGAUAGCUUAAACUGCUGUUUGAAGUAACACUAUGAGGCUUUUUUAAUGGAGACCUCAGUGCUUCCCAGAAGACAAAGCUGACUGACUGGGUCAUCUCCUGAAUUUUGAAUGAAAUCUUUCAACAAAUAUAUUCUACAGAUCUGGUGCACUCAUACCUCUUCUAUGUCUUCGGUGAGCUCCUAUCUUCCCAGGGCAAAUUUCAUAUUUUUACCAUCAUAGUUUAGAUUUAUGUUUUCCAAACAACAUAAAGAAAAUAUCUUAGGACAUUCCCAUUGAUCUCAGCUGGGUCUAAACAGAAGAUUACACAAAAUAUCAACAUUAACAAGAUCUAAACAUCUAAAUGGUGAUGCAGCUGUGAAUAUUUAGCUUUCAGAUAUUUGGUCGGGGUGGGUGUGGCUCAUGAGGAAGAUCAGGUCAUCCACUGAUAGUAAAGUUGGUCAUUCAGUCUCUGCUAGCAUGCCAAGUAUCCUUGGAAAAGACACAGUACUAAACUGAAUUGUUCCUGGUGAAUUCAUUAGAGUGUUAAAGUUAGGUAGAAAGCACUUAAAUGUAGAAAAGCAUGCUUGUAUGGAAGUGUGCCAAUGGCUG
ensembl:lncRNA